CCGCCCGAUUUCCAGCAGCUUCCAGCGCCCCCUCCCCACCUCGCGCACUCGCGCGCCAGACAGCCCUGUGAUCCAAUGGCGUUGCGGCGCCCCGACUUCCGCAGCCAAUCAGAGGACGUUGGCCUCACCGCGCCCCUCCUCCGUGCUGAGGACCGGGGCGAGGGGCUGAGGCUCGACCGCGGCUGUCGCCCGAGGGCGACCGAGAGUCAUGCUCGCUGGUGGGGGCGUGUGAGGGCGGCUUUGCCUCCGCCUCUGCUCACUUCCUUUCUCAGGAAUGGUGGGCGCCGUCCCCACCCCUCACUGGCAGUGACGGUGGACAACAAAGGGGCUCGGGGUGGCGGCCAGACAAAGAGGGGGACUUGGAGGGUUGCAGCGCCGGGGGAAGUUGGGAACAAAGCUAGGGGGCUGGGAGCUACAGGGAGACGCACUACAAGAAACCAAAAGCAGAAAGUGCCUUUGUCUCCCUUGCUGCCCAAACUUGCGGAAAUCCGGGUGGUCCUGUCUCACCCGCCGCCCACCUGGGCCUGAUCGGCCACGCUGGGACGAUGCCCUCACCGCGCAACCAGCCGAGAGGGAAACAGGUCGGACCUGGGCAGCGCCCGAGGGAAAGCCUGGGUAGCCAGCGGCCAGCAUUUAAAGGCCCCGCCUCCUCAAAGGAAAGGCUGCUGACUCCUUUAAUUGAGACCUGACUCCGGUUUUAACCUGUCAGCCCUGGACCUAAGGAAAGCAGGCAAAAGUAAUGGUGAGAAGUCAGAAGAGGACUGCAAUCAAAGUGCUACUUCGGGAUGAUGGAAUUAAGCAUUUCAACAAAUCUUCCAGUAGCGAUGCUCACUUUAAAUAGAGGGGAAAGUGGGGCAGUGAACAAGAGGCUUUCGCCCGAUUCUCGGUACCAGGUCGGUGCUGGCGCCGACAAAUGGAGGUCCCACCGAGAUCGGAGAAGAAAGGGGGUACCACCUACGGGACGUCCCUGGAGCCCGGCCAGCAUAGGAGGAGAAGGGACGGAUUGGACGUAAGAUGGGUCAGGAAAGGCCUGGAUGAUUUGGGCUAGCCUGAGUAAAACUUGUCAUAAAAAAGGGACAAGGUAACGGUAAAGUGUUUUUGCAUAUGUGUUCUGUUAGAGUUAUAUUUUAGUCUUUGGACCCUGACUAGAGAUAGUUUAUACCCUAGACAUGAGAGAGAACGGGUUGGGGAAAAACAGUCCUCCCGGACUCUCCGAGGUUGCUUUGGAGAAAGAAAAACCUUUUCAGAGCUCUCCUAGGAACAGAGGGAAAGCAGGAACGUCCUGCCUCUCUGCUGGCUCCUAUUGGAGAAAUGCUUAUUUCUGGUUCUGGGUUCCAUAGGUAGGAUAUGUGGGUCCCUUCAGUGGGACACCAUCUAGUUUUUUCCCUUUAUGUCUAUUGUUUGUCCUUGGUGCACCAAGCUGUCCAUGUCUGUCAGUUUAUGUCUGUGGUUUUUGUUUCUCGUUGUUUAAAUGUUUUGUGUUUCAUGUUUAAAAGAAAAGGUUAAAAUUUUAAAUGCUGGUUGAUUCACCCAUUGAUGUAGUUUUAACUCCUUUCAAAAAAGGUACAAAUAAAUAAAAAGUUUCAAUUGGCUUUUGGAGCCUACAUCUGUAGCUAGAAGCCUAAAUCUGCUGGGCAAGCUCCCCAGGGGGCUGGCUAAAUGUUUACACUAGCCAAUCUUAAAGGAGCCAGCAGCUCCUCAGCUUCUAUGUUAAGGGAGCGGAUGGCUGUUUCUCUUAGAAAAAUCCCUGACUUAUUAUUUGACUUAGCAGGUGACAAGGUGCUUCUCUUAAUAUUACAGCUAGAAAAAGUAAAAAUGGUGCUUGGUCUAAAUAUUAAAGAUAGGUGUAGCCACUUCAAUUUUGUUUCUGAUUGGUUUUAAAUGUAUAAAUAUGCUCUACAUGCCUUGGUUAUGGACUAUUGGCUUUUAGGUUAUUGGAUAUGGUUAAAAAAGUAUAAUAUUGGUAACAGAAAGUUGACAUAAAGCUGGUAAUUUAGAUGGAGUCAUUCUAGACAACAUGUGGCAUGAGCCAACCUAGGGAAACAGGUCUAAAUUGAGAUAAUAUUUUUAUGGAAUUCUUAUCCUAGAAAUCAGGCUUCUAAAAGAUUUUAGGGCAAUGUCUCUUUGUUGAGGUAUUAGAGACCGCACCAUUCUGCGUUCAUAUGUAGGAAUUGGCAGUCAAACUUAGUAGCAUGAAGGAUAGACUCGGUGUUUUGGAGACUGGAUUUUGGAGACUAGUUUGUUAGAGGUUAAGUUUUGCUUUCCAAAGUUGUGGUUUGCCCUGAAGUUAUCUGUAUUUUAAUGCUAAUUCCACUGCCCCAAGGACAGCUGCCUAGUCACUACUCAGAACUCAGGUGACCUUGUGGUUGUGCUCUGGUGUUACAAGGAGAACGUAAGGAUUGUGAUUAAGGAUUGCCAGUGUUACAUUGAGUAACUCAAACUUAUUUAUAAUUGAGAAAAAAAUCAAACAGGUAGAGAUUGUUACAAGAUUUACGAAGGAUUGAUGAGGUUUUAGAACUUGUGAGAGCAUUACAGCCAGUUUACUUACUCCAACUGCCAUUUCAAGAUAGAUUUAGAGGAUUGAUUUUGAGUUUUCAUUUCGUGAGCCUGCUUAUAAUUUUAGAGAGCCCAUAGAGUGAUAUCAUUAAGAAUGGCUAAUAGCCUUAUAUUAUGUAAUUUUGUUGCUUCUUCGAUGUAAGAAGUUAGAACCUUAAAUCUUUCAAUGUAUAUGGAAAUUUUUACUACAAACCUUUGCUCUCAAAAUGAGCUUUAAUAUUUGGGGAGUAGCUGUUACACUACUCCAGAAAAGAAUAUUUGAAGCUAAUUUUAAGCUUCUAAGGAUAUGUUAAUUGGCUAAGUACCUCACCCUACCAGAGGACUUAGGUCUUUGUUAUGCACAUUGGAGAUAAAGCUUCAGCUGUGUUAGUACAGAGUUGUGGACUGGAGUCAUAAAAGUAUUUUAAAUAGAAACCUGGUAAAACAUAUCUUAUUCCAAACAACAGUUAAUUGGUUAUUACAAAAUACUGAUAUUUGGCCUAUUACAUAUACAAAUUUCAGGCAAGAUUGAUAAUUUUACUCUUUACAUGCUUUUGUAUUUCCUGUAAAUUUGUGCAUGCAACCCAUAGAAAAUGCGCUUAGUGUAUUUAUAGGUGGUUCAUCUAAUGAAAAGGCUACAUGUAUGAUUGGAUCACUUGUUUAUUCUCUUGAGUUUCCCCUGCUUCAAUACAGACUAUUAAAUUACGUGCUGUAGCCACUGUUUUUAAAUGUUAAAAAUCAAGCUUUCAAUUCAUAUACUGAUAGCCAAUGUGUGGCUUGUGGUUUUACAAUUGAUUAAAAGGUUUUCCUUUUUUUUUAGAUACUACUAGCCCUCAAAUUUUACAAUUACUUAAUGCUUUAUUAGAGGCAGGUUUUCUACAUAAAAUCAGUGAGUGAUGAUUUCAGUGUAAAUUGUCUGACAACUCACUGUCCUUUCAGUGCUCUGGCUCAGACAACUAAACAAAACCAUAGACCCAGCUCUUUGAAAAUGGUAAUGGAGUUGAUAACACACCCUCACAAAAAGAGGAAGACUCCAUUUGCUUACUUUCAACGCCCAGCCUCACCCUGCCAACUCAGGGAUUUCUAAAUAAGGCUAAAUCUGGACCUUGUUUACAGGAUUUGACAUUUCUAAUUAAUGCUUAUGUUUAGGUAAAUAAAGCUGGUGAGGGGCUGGAGAGAUGGCUUAGUGGUUAAGAGCACUAAGUACUGUUCCUUUAUAGGCCAUUUAAAAACUCAAACUGUAUUGCCUGGACCCCUUAGCAAGGGAGGACAAUAAUACCAGGCAGAUUAUAGGCCUUACAUAGAAACAAUUAGUCAAAAAGUCUCAUUCUUUAUAUCAUCAAAACAAUAAUGCUGGAAACAAUAAUUUGGUAUACAAGUCAAUUUAUAAAUACAAGUGCUCAGUGUCCUCAAUUUAAUCCUCGAGGACUUAUCUUAAUAAAUAAUAUUUUAACAAUUUUAAUAAAUAAAAGGGGGAACUAUCCCUGAAUGCUAAUAAUGCUCCUUUUAUUUCAAUUUUAAAAUUUGGAUGCCAAGGUUUAUGGCACCCUACAACUAGGCAUACUUCUGCCUAGGUGAAAUAGAAAGACCCACAUAUUGGCAUGAUCCUGUCCAGGUAUUUUAUAUGGGGAAGAGGGAAUGUUUGUGUUUUUUCUACAGAAUGCUACAGGAGUGUGCCAGCUGCCUGAGAGUCUGAGCCAUGCUGAUCCUGGGAGCAUGAAGAUUCAAUUCAGCUCUCGUGGUUCUGGUUCCUGGAGUCAUUCCUGUGCCCUUAGAGGAAGACGGAGGAUUCCCCCUCAUCUUUUGUCAUCACAGAAAUUCUGGCAUUGCUGCAGUCAUUGUGUCCUGUCCCAUCUCGGCCUGCCCUCCGACCCUCUGUGCACUGCUGCUUGCUGGAAGCUGCUGUGGACUGGGGAACUCUGCCCUGGUUCUGCAGAUCUCAGACAUGGUUCCAUUGCCUGCUGGUUGGUCCAGAGAAGAAUGACUGAUCCUGAACUGUCCUGGGAAAGACCUAGGCAUUUUCGCUGCUAUUGUGGCAGCCAUUACUGCUGCAGCCAUUGUGUCUGCAGUGUCUGGAGUUACCCUCCCCCAAUCUAUUGUUAGGCAAGCACAGUGGGUGAACUUUCUGGAGUAGUUGCUAACAAUUGGGAAUUCUAAAUUUUAUUAUAGGAGCGGCUUGACUACGGCCCUUGGUGGUAACAGCUGAGGAGAACCAGAUGAGGUGCCCACUACUUAUCAGGAGAGGCUCAACUUCCACAAUCUCUUAAAUUAACGCCAUCUGGCCUCUGCUCCUUCGCCCCUGGGCUCAAGUAAGAGGAAUGACAAGAUGAUCCAAUGUAGCUAUCCUCAGGGACGGGCAACUUCCUCUGACCCUUGACCAAUCUAAGGCAGGAACCUUGGGGGCGACAAGGUGAUCCUAUGACAGAUAAGGCUGGGGUUUGAGAGGUCGAUCCUAAGACAGAGGUGGCUACACCCCGUUUAAACGUACGGGCCGGUCAAAUGCUCCUCUGCCCAGUUUCUCCCCCAAUAAACACACGUAUAGCCCAGAACAGUGUGUUACAGCAUAAGUUCAUUUCUGGCCAUUGGGGUGCAGUCCUAACUGCAAGAGUGGCUCGCCAUGGCCGAGCUGGGCACUCUGUGAGGCAUGUCUGAUCUCUCUCAGACCACUACUUCCACCUAAUGGUCUUUUAUAUAUAAAUAACGGGGGAGAUGUAGUGCCAUAUUGGAUUUGGGCCUGACUGCUUUGCAACUGCAUGGCCACAGUUAAGAAGUCAUGGGAUUGUUGGACAGAGGCCUCUCCCAUGUAUUUACGGCACAGGAAGAAAAGACCAAGUAGUAAACACCCGAUAUCUCCACUGCAUGACCUCUGCUGAGCCCGGCUGAUGCACGUGGAACUGACACACCUGGACCACACCUGGGUGGUGGUCAAUUUACUUCUGCCUUUUACUUCCUCAGCCUUUAUCCUUGAGAUUUAGGCUGGUCUUCUGGGAUUUCUCCCUAAUUAAUUCAGAUCUUGAAGUCAGUCUUUUGUUAACUGAAGUCACGAGCCAGGUAGUCACGAGCCAGGGUUUCCCACUGUGCUUCCCAGAUAUCACCUGGGGAACUUGGGUAUAUAAGUGGUGAAUAAAGCUACAGGAGUCUCUCUCUCUCUCUCUCUCCUGGCUUGACACGAAUAACCUGUGUGUGUGUGUUUCUUUCAUCCCGUAGGCUUUCGCCCGAUUCUCGGUACCAGGUCGGUGCUGGCGCCGACAACCUUUAUUCACCUUAGUUUCCUUAUAUAAGAAAAGAAGUAAUAAUAACUGUGUAUGAAAAGGUUACGACUGUUUGCCACAUUGUAACAUUUGAAAACUACCACAUUAGUCAGAAUCCUCCAGAGAAAUAGACCAAACGGAAUGCAUAGAAAGAAACAGAAGAAGGUAUAAGGAACUGCCUUGAGAUGAUGAAGACAUAGAAGCCUUAUACAAAGCAGUCAGGAGCACUUGAGGUCUAUAGCUCCAGUCCAAAUUCAAAGGCCUAUGGGCCAGAGGAGCUCUGAGGUAUGGACCUCAGCAUCCAAAAGACAGCUGCACCGGUGUUGACAAAAUUCCUGAUGCGGAUGCCCCAGCUUAAGCACAUUUUCCUUCCUCUACCUUUGAGGUUUCUUUCAGUUCAAUCAUGAUGCCCACCCACACUGAAGAAGGCAAUUUUCCUUCCACAGUCUACCAAUUCAAAAGCUAAUCUUUUCUAUAAACAUCCUUAUAGACACGUUCAGAAAUACUAUUUUACUGUCUAUCCAGUCCUCCAUCAACCCAGUCAGGUUGAUGUAUUGAAUUAACCAUUCAGGAAAUUUAAUAUAAUUCUAAAAAUGAAAAAUGUUUCUCUCCUAUGAAAAUAUUGCAUCUAGAUUUAACUGGUUUUCAGUGUAUACAUAGUAUAUACAUGUAUUAAAAUAUCAUGUGGUAUACUGUAAAUAUAGACAUUUUGUCAACUACACCUUAAAUUUUAAAAUACUCCAUCUCUAUGUUUUUAAUGAGGAAACAGACUGUUGAGUUAACAACCAGUGAUGAGAAUGUAAGUUGGAUGGAGGCUUCCCCACUAGGAUCUGCUAAUUUGACUAGGAGCCUUCAGAUGAGAAAGAACUGAAUGAGUUACAUGUGAUUCUUCAUUGUCCUGCCUCAGAUAACCAACCUAUGAGAGCAGUCCCCAUGUCCCUAACUCUUAGAAGCAUUUAUUGAAUAUUCACUGUGUUCAAGGGACUGUGUGGAUGCUGUAAAACAUACAUGGUGCUAACCAUCAAAAGACAAAAUCACCAUGUGUAUGAGACAGUAAAGUAAUACAAAGCACCAGGACGGGUCAGUUUUUAAUGUAAAAAAAACACACAAUACCCUUUCUAGAAAACACAGAGGCUGAGUUGGUAGUCAAAAGACCUGAAAUUUAUUCCUAAAUAUCACAGCAAAGAGCUGUGAACUUUAGAAGUUCACUCACCUUCUUCUUAUGCCCCAAGCCUCCCAUUGUUAAGUGUAAACAAUGCUAGGUGUCCUACUUUACAAUAGUAAAGAGUGACUGUGAGCUCAGAAGUAAUAAUAGGCUGGGUUUUUAAAGAUAUUAGUAUUGUUCUAAUUCUAAAAAUAAUCUCAAGUGGUAAAGAGGCCUUAAGAUAGAAAUCACGUCUUUAACUAGUGUUACCAACUUGAGCCAAAGCCUAAGUGCCAAGCAGCGUUUAUGGGUGACAAGUGACAGGGUAGCAGUGUUCUCGUCCGGCUCCCUUGCCCUUGCCUCUGAAAAUGGAAAUGGCUAUGAUAAUUAAAGAUUGCUACAAUAAAACAAUCCCUUCUCAACUUAUUUUUAACUUUGAAUAAACCAUUCAGAAGAAAUGAA